CCUACGGGAGGCAGCAGUGGGGAAUCUUGCGCAAUGGGCGAAAGCCUGACGCAGCAACGCCGCGUGCGGGAAGAAGGCCUUCGGGUUGUAAACCGCUUUCAGCAGGAACGAAAAUGACGGUACCUGCAGAAGAAGGAGCGGCCAACUACGUGCCAGCAGCCGCGGUGACACGUAGGCUCCAAGCGUUGUCCGGAUUUAUUGGGCGUAAAGAGCUCGUAGGCGGUUCAGCAAGUCGGGUGUGAAAACUCUGGGCUCGAACCCAGAGCCUGCAUUCGAAACUGCUGUGACUAGAGUUUGGUAGGGGAGCGGGGAAUUCCUAGUGUAGCGGUGAAAUGCGCAGAUAUUAGGAGGAACACCGGUGGCGAAAGCGCCGCUCUGGGCCAAUACUGACGCUGAGGAGCGAAAGCGUGGGUAGCAAACAGGAUUAGAUACCCUGGUAGUCCACGCCGUAAACGAUGGGCACUAGGUGUGGGUUUCAACUAACGAAAUCCGUGCCGUCGCUAACGCAUUAAGUGCCCGCCUGGGGAGUACGGUCGCAGACUAAAACUCAAAGGAAUUGACGG
rnacentral:rRNA from 1 species